UACGUAGGGUGCGAGCGUUAAUCGGAAUUACUGGGCGUAAAGCGUGCGCAGGCGGCUUUGCAAGACAGAUGUGAAAUCCCCGGGCUCAACCUGGGAACUGCAUUUGUGACUGCAAGGCUAGAGUACGGCAGAGGGGGAUGGAAUUCCGCGUGUAGCUGUGAAAUGCGUAGAUAUGCGGAGGAACACCAAUGGCGAAGGCAAUCCCCUGGGCCUGUACUGACGCUCAUGCACGAAAGCGUGGGGAGCAAACAGG
rnacentral:rRNA from 1 species